rnacentral:rRNA from 1 species
CAACCUACCUUAUAGUUUGGGAUAACUCCGGGAAACCGGGGCUAAUACCGAAUAAUCUGUUUCACCUCAUGGUGAAAUAUUGAAAGACGGUUUCGGCUGUCGCUAUAGGAUGGGCCCGCGGCGCAUUAGCUAGUUGGUGAGGUAACGGCUCACCAAGGCGACGAUGCGUAGCCGACCUGAGAGGGUGAUCGGCCACACUGGGACUGAGACACGGCCCAGACUCCUACGGGAGGCAGCAGUAGGGAAUCUUCCACAAUGGGCGAAAGCCUGAUGGAGCAACGCCGCGUGAGUGAAGAAGGAUUUCGGUUCGUAAAACUCUGUUGUAAGGGAAGAACAAGUACAGUAGUAACUGGCUGUACCUUGACGGUACCUUAUUAGAAAGCCACGGCUAACUACGUGCCAGCAGCCGCGGUAAUACGUAGGUGGCAAGCGUUGUCCGGAAUUAUUGGGCGUAAAGCGCGCGCAGGUGGUUUCUUAAGUCUGAUGUGAAAGCCCACGGCUCAACCGUGGAGGGUCAUUGGAAACUGGGAGACUUGAGUGCAGAAGAGGAUAGUGGAAUUCCAAGUGUAGCGGUGAAAUGCGUAGAGAUUUGGAGGAACACCAGUGGCGAAGGCGACUAUCUGGUCUGUAACUGACACUGAGGCGCGAAAGCGUGGGGAGCAAACAGGAUUAGAUACCC